UACGUAGGGGGCAAGCGUUGUCCGGAUUUAUUGGGCGUAAAGAGCGUGUAGGCGGCCAGGUAGGUCGGUUGUGAAAACUGGAGGCUUAACCUUCAGACGUCGACCGAAACCAUCUGGCUAGAGUCCGGAAGAGGAGAGUGGAAUUCCUGGUGUAGCGGUGAAAUGCGCAGAUAUCAGGAAGAACACCCGUGGCGAAGGCGGCUCUCUGGGCAUGUCCUGACGCUGAGGAGCGAAAGUGUGGGGAGCGAACAGG
rnacentral:rRNA from 1 species